UAUGUGAUCGUCUCUCGCAUAUCAAUAAGCGGAGGAAAAGAAACUAACAAGGAUUCCCCUAGUAACGGCGAGUGAAGCGGGAAGAGCUCAAAUUUGAAAUCUUAAAGGGUUUCCCUUUACGAAUUGUAGUUUAAAGAAGUGUUUUCUGUUGAGGUUUUGGUAAAAGUUCUUUGGAAUAGGACAUCAUAGAGGGUGAGAAUCCCGUAUUUGACCUUUACUUUCAACUUUGUGAUACACUUUCAAAGAGUCGGAUUGUUUGGGAAUGCAGUCCAAAAUGGGUGGUAAAUUUCAUCUAAAGCUAAAUAUUGGCGAGAGACCGAUAGCGAACAAGUACCGUGAGGGAAAGAUGAAAAGAACUUUGAAAAGAGAGUUAAACAGUACGUGAAAUUGUCAAAAGGGAAGCGUUUGACACCAGUGUUGUUUUUCUGAAAAUUAAUUAAAGAACUGUUUAUGCUAAGCUGUUUAGACUUUAUCAGCUAUCUGUUUAGUUUUGAGCUUUUCUUUAAUGCACUUUUCAGUUAACAAGUCAACAUCAAUUUCUUUUGCUGUAAAAAAGCUUGAGGAAGGUGGCUUGAGAUUCGUCUUAAGUGUUUAUAGCCUCUUGCCUAUGCAGUCGGAGAGAUUGAGGUCUGCAGCGUAGAUCCUUCGGGGCUAAAUGCAUUUGUGCUAAGUUAUAGCAUUUUAUAGACAACUUGUUGACUAUGAUUUGUCUUGUAGCUUACUCGCUUAUGUUAUUUUACCUACGCUUAGGAUGUUGACACACGCGCGUGCUCG
rnacentral:rRNA from 1 species